rnacentral:rRNA from 1 species
AUGCGCUAUUUGGGCUGCUCAUACGGGUAUGCUAUCUUCUACAGUUUUGAGCAAUGCUUCCUUGUUGAUGUGUACACUGGUACUAUCAUGAAGCCCCCCAAAUUCCAACACAGUGACAACUCUGAAAUCUACUACGGCAUCUUUACAGCUCCGCUAAGUUCGCCCAACUCGUACCUCCUCCUUUUCUCGAGAAAUUCUAUGUUCCAGUGGCAACUUGGAGCAAACUCCUGGACAGAACACCCUCUUAUUGCUGAACGCCGCAUUCAUCAAAUUGUGCCCUUCAAAGGUAAGAUGUUUGCCAUGGACUCCCUUCAGAAGCUCAAUAUCAUUUCUUUGGCACCUCAGCUUGGCAUGUCGGAAGUGCCAGUUGUAGUGUGCGGACAGGACAUGGUCAAACCAUGGUUGGUGGUCUGUGGUGACAUGCUUCUCAUGGUUGACCUCUGCAUACGUGUUCACGAAUUCUGCUUUCAAGCCUACCGCCUCGACUUAACAGAACCCGCUAAGUGGAUGAAGUUGGAUAAGUUGGAAAAUUGGGCUCUCUUUAUUAGCCUGGAUACCAGGAGUUCUACAUUUUCUUGCAUGAACCCUGAACGAUGGGGCGGGAAGAGUAACUGCAUUUACGUUCCGAGUGGGUCCAAAAAUUCCGACGAACCUUGGAUUGAGGUAGGGCUUGGUCAGUUCGUGCCUACGAGUUCCCACCCCAUUACAUAUAUUCUCGGAUGGAAAAGCAAGCAGUUGGAGAGCUUCUGGGUGCUCCCCAGUUUGGUGUAUGCUGUCAGUGAGUGA